rnacentral:rRNA from 1 species
AGAACGAACGCUGGCGGCAGGCUUAACACAUGCAAGUCGAACGCGUGUAGCAAUACACGAGUGGCGCACGGGUGAGUAACGCGUGGAUAUCUGCCUUUUGGUUCGGAAUAACCCCGGGAAACUGGGGCUAAAUACCGGAUGGUUCCUACGGGAUAAAGAUUUAUCGCCAAAAAGAUGAGUCCGCGUACGAUUAGCUAGUUGGUGAGGUAAUGGCUCACCAAGGCGACGAUCGUUAGCUGGUCUGAGAGGACGAUCAGCCACACUGGGACUGAGACACGGCCCAGACUCCUACGGGAGGCAGCAGUGGGGAAUAUUGGACAAUGGGGGCAACCCUGAUCCAGCCAUGCCGCGUGAGUGAUGAAGGCCUUCGGUUGUAAAGCUCUUUUGGCGGGACGAUGAUGACGGUACCGCAGAAUAAGCCCCGGCUAACUUCGCGCCAGCAGCCGC